rnacentral:rRNA from 1 species
GAUGAACGCUGGCGGCGUGCCUAAUACAUGCAAGUCGAGCGAACAGACGAGGAGCUUGCUCCUUUGACGUUAGCGGCGGACGGGUGAGUAACACGUGGGUAACCUACCUAUAAGACUGGGAUAACUUCGGGAAACCGGAGCUAAUACCGGAUAAUAUUUCGAACCGCAUGGUUCGAUAGUGAAAGAUGGCUCUGCUAUCACUUAUAGAUGGACCUGCGCCGUAUUAGCUAGUUGGUAAGGUAACGGCUUACCAAGGCAACGAUACGUAGCCGACCUGAGAGGGUGAUCGGCCACACUGGAACUGAGACGCGGUCCAGACUCCUACGGGAGGCAGCAGUAGGGAAUCUUCCGCAAUGGGCGAAAGCCUGACGGAGCAACGCCGCGUGAGUGAUGAAGGUCUUCGGAUCGUAAAACUCUGUUAUUAGGGAAGAACAAACGUGUAAGUAACUGUGCACGUCUUGACGGUACCUAAUCAGAAAGCCACGGCUAACUACGUG